rnacentral:tRNA from 1 species
AGAAACUUAGGUUAACAGACCCAGAGCCUUCAAAGCUCUAAGUAGAAGUUAAAAUCUUCUAGUUUCUG